rnacentral:misc_RNA from 1 species
GCUCCGUAGGUGAACCUGCGGAGGGAUCAUUACAGAGUUCAUGCCCUACCGGGUAGAUCUCCCACCCUAUGUUAUUAUUACUUUGUUGCUUUGGUGGGCCGUUAGGCUCCGGCCCGACUACCGGCCCCGGCUGGUAAGCGCCCGCCAGAGGACCCAAAACCCUGAAUAUUAGUGUCGUCUGAGUACUAUAUAAUAGUUAAAACUUUCAACAACGGAUCUCUUGGUUCUG